rnacentral:rRNA from 1 species
CCUACGGGAGGCAGCAGUGGGGAAUAUUGCACAAUGGGCGGAAGCCUGAUGCAGCGACGCCGCGUGAGGGAUGAAGGCCUUCGGGUUGUAAACCUCUUUCAGCAGGGACGAAGCGUGAGUGACGGUACCUGCAGAAGAAGCACCGGCUAACUACGUGCCAGCAGCCGCGGUAAUACGUAGGGUGCGAGCGUUGUCCGGAAUUACUGGGCGUAAAGAGUUCGUAGGCGGUUUGUCGCGUCGUUUGUGAAAACCCGGGGCUCAACUUCGGGCUUGCAGGCGAUACGGGCAGACUUGAGUGUUUCAGGGGAGACUGGAAUUCCUGGUGUAGCGGUGAAAUGCGCAGAUAUCAGGAGGAACACCGGUGGCGAAGGCGGGUCUCUGGGAAACAACUGACGCUGAGGAACGAAAGCGUGGGUAGCAAACAGGAUUAGAUACCCUGGUAGUCCACGCCGUAAACGGUGGGCGCUAGGUGUGGGUUCCUUCCACGGAAUCUGUGCCGUAGCUAACGCAUUAAGCGCCCCGCCUGGGGAGUACGGCCGCAAGGCUAAAACUCAAAUGAAUUGACGG